rnacentral:rRNA from 1 species
AAGGGGCGUUUAAGACUACAACGUUGAUAGUCGAGAUGUGGAAGUGGUGUGAGCCAUUGAGCUAACUCGUACUAAUUACCCGUGAGGCUUAACCAUACAACACCAAAGUGGUUU